rnacentral:tRNA from 1 species
UCCCUGGUGGUCCAGUGGUUAAGACACUGCCCUUUCACUGCCAAGGGCACAGGUUCAAUCCCUGGUCAGGGAA